rnacentral:rRNA from 1 species
GUGUCAGCAGCCGCGGUAAUACGAAGGGGGCUAGCGUUGCUCGGAAUUACUGGGCGUAAAGGGCGCGUAGGCGGACAGUUAAGUCAGAGGUGAAAGCCCAGGGCUCAACCUUGGAAUUGCCUUUGAUACUGGCUGUCUUGAGUUCGGGAGAGGUGAGUGGAAUGCCGAGUGUAGAGGUGAAAUUCGUAGAUAUUCGGCGGAACACCAGUGGCGAAGGCGACUCACUGGCCCGAUACUGACGCUGAGGCGCGAAAGCGUGGGGAGCAAACAGGAUUAGAUACCCUGGUAGUCCACGCUGUAAACGAUGAGUGCUAGUUGUCGGCAUGCAUGCAUGUCGGUGACGCAGCUAACGCAUUAAGCACUCCGCCUGGGGAGUACGGUCGCAAGAUUAAA